UACAGAGGGUGCGAGCGUUGUCCGGAAUCACUGGGCGUAAAGGGCGCGUAGGCGGUCUGCUAAGCGUGUGGUGAAAGCUCGGGGCUCAACCCCGCGUCGGCCAUGCGAACUGGUGGACUGGAGCUUGUCAGAGGCAGGCGGAAUUCCGGGUGUAGCGGUGGAAUGCGUAGAGAUCCGGAAGAACACCGGUGGCGAAGGCGGCCUGCUGGGACAAUGCUGACGCUGAGGCGCGACAGCGUGGGGGAGCAAACAGG
rnacentral:rRNA from 1 species